GAGAGGGAAACUUAAAGGUUAAGUGUUAGUCUGUCGCACUAAAAGUUGCGGGUUCAAAUCCCGUUCCUCUCG
rnacentral:tRNA from 2 species